GGUGCUAUGGCCGAGCGGUUAGGCACUGGUCUGCAAAACCAGGUACAGCGGUUCGAUUCCGCUUGGCACCU
rnacentral:tRNA from 1 species